rnacentral:rRNA from 1 species
CCCUGGCUCAGAUUGAACGCUGGCGGCAUGCCUUACACAUGCAAGUCGAACGGCAGCACGGGAGCAAUCCUGGUGGCGAGUGGCGAACGGGUGAGUAAUACAUCGGAACGUGCCCAAUCGUGGGGGAUAACGCAGCGAAAGCUGUGCUAAUACCGCAUAAGAUCUACGGAUGAAAGCAGGGGAUCGCAAGACCUUGCGCGAAUGGAGCGGCUGAUGGCAGAUUAGGUAGUUGGUGAGGUAAAGGCUCACCAAGCCUUCGAUCUGUAGCUGGUCUGAGAGGACGACCAGCCACACUGGGACUGAGACACGGCCCAGACUCCUACGGGAGGCAGCAGUGGGGAAUUUUGGACAAUGGGCGCAAGCCUGAUCCAGCCAUGCCGCGUGCAGGAUGAAGGCCUUCGGGUUGUAAACUGCUUUUGUACGGAACGAAACGGUCCCUUCUAAUACAGGGGGCUAAUGACGGUACCGUAAGAAUAAGCACCGGC